rnacentral:tRNA from 1 species
CGCGUUGGCUCUAGUGUCGAUUUGAAAAGGGCUCAUAACCCAAAGGUCGCUGGUUCAAAUCCAGCCCCCGCAACCA